AGCGAACGCUGGCGGCAGGCCUAACACAUGCAAGUCGAGCGCCCAGCAAUGGGAGCGGCAGACGGGAUAGUAACACGUGGGAACGUACCUUUCAGUUCGGAACAACCCAGGGAAACUUGGGCUAAUACCGAAUACGUCCGUAAGGAGAAAGAUUUAUCGCUGAAAGAUCGGCCCGCGUCUGAUUAGCUAGUUGGUGAGGUAAUGGCUCACCAAGGCGACGAUCAGUAGCNGUUCUGAGAGAUGAUCAGCCACAUUGGGACUGAGACACGGCCCAAACUCCUACGGGAGGCAGCAGUGGGAAUAUUGGACAAUGGGGAAACCCUGAUCCAGCCAUGCCGCGUGAGUGAUGAAGGCCC
rnacentral:rRNA from 1 species